GAUGAACGCUGGCGGCGUGCCUAAUACAUGCAAGUCGAGCGAACAGACGAGGAGCUUGCUCCUCUGACGUUAGCGGCGGACGGGUGAGUAACACGUGGAUAACCUACCUAUAAGACUGGGAUAACGGCGGGAAACCGGGGCUAAUACCGGAUAAUAUAUUGAACCGCAUGGUUCAAUAGUGAAAGACGGUUUUGCUGUCACUUAUAGAUGGAUCCGCGCCGCAUUAGCUAGUUGGUAAGGUAACGGCUUACCAAGGCAACGAUGCGUAGCCGACCUGAGAGGGUGAUCGGCCACACUGGAACUGAGACACGGUCCAGACUCCUACGGGAGGCAGCAGUAGGGAAGCUUCCGCAAUGGGCGAAAGCUUGACGGAGCAACGCCGCGUGAGUGAUGAAGGUCUUCGGAUCGUAAAACUCUGUUAUUAGGGAAGAACAAAUGUGUAAGUAACUAUGCACGUCUUGACGGUACCUAAUCAGAAAGCCACGGCUAACUACGUG
rnacentral:rRNA from 1 species